CCAUCCUUUAGAAAGGCACUUGGUAUUUCUAUAAAUGAUUAAGAGAAAGUGUUUCUCGAGGGAGAUUGGGAACAUAGGGAUGAUCCCAAAACCUAUAACGACGUGAUGUGAGAAAUCAUGUAAUUACAUAAAGGUCAGUGGGAGGAUCCCACGCUAACAUUGGUUAUGAUGUGGUUACAUAUAGAAUUUUCUCAUCAAAGUCCUAGGUCAAACAUUCUGAAAAUAAAGGUCUAUGGAGAUAGAUUCUAAAAGAAUGUUUGUUUUUCACAGAUAAGAACAUAAAAGUGGUGCUGAAAGAGUUUAGCAUUGAAACCUCCAAGAGAGAUCCAUUAUCCUCUUGGGC
rnacentral:lncRNA from 1 species